GUUACCCAACAAAGAAUUUCAGUUCAACUUUAAGAAUUACCAUAAGAAACAGAAAUCAAAAUGUAAUCUUAAAACUUAGCCUAAAGAGGGACAGCUCUUCAGGAAUGGAAACAACCUUCAAUAGUGAAUAAACCCUAAUACCCCAAGACCAUAGUUGGCCUAAAGGCAGCCAUCAAUAAAGAAAGCGUUAAAGCUCGACACUAAAUAAACCCAAAUUCCAUAAACCAGAAUGAAUUCCUAUUAACACAAUUGGGUUAAUCUAUUACUAUAUAGAUGAAAUACUGUUAACAUGAGUAACAAGAACAUCGUUCUCCAAGCACAAGCCUAUAGCAACCCGGAUAACCAUUGCUAGUUAACAGCUUCAGGUGAACAUAUACUAAUUAAGCCCACCAACAAUCAAACUGUUAACCCGACACAGGUGUGCUACAAGGAAAGAUUAAAAGGAGUAAAAGGAACUCGGCAAACAAGAAUCCCGCCUGUUUACCAAAAACAUCACCUCUAGCAUAACCAGUAUUAGAGGCACCGCCUGCCCAGUGACUAACGUUAAACGGCCGCGGUAUCCUG
rnacentral:rRNA from 1 species